rnacentral:rRNA from 1 species
UACGUAGGCAGCGAGCGUUGUUCGGAAUUACUGGGCGUAAAGAGUGUGUAGGCGGUGUUCCAAGUCUGGUGUGUAAUCUCCCGGCUCAACUGGGAGGGGGCGCCGGAAACUGGGAUGCUAGAGUGUGGGAGAGGUAAGCGGAAUGCCUGGUGUAGCGGUGAAAUGCGUAGAUAUCAGGAGGAACACCUGUGGUGUAGACAGCUUACUGGACCACGACUGACGCUGAGACACGAAAGCGUGGGUAGCAAACAGG